AAUGAAUGCUGCCCACUGGUGCCUCAGUUAAGCACAGUGAGCAUUCUGCCAUGAGAAGCUUUCUUGAACUGGAAUUUUAUUUAUCAGUAGAAGUUUUCAUGUAUGUAUGUAUGUAUAUAUAUAAUACAAAUUUAUUGUUAUUUCACAGGACAAAUCAGUCAAGAUGUCCACGAUUUCAAAGCACUUUGGACUGAAAUACAAAGAAGAAUCGUACAUCUUUAAAGAGCUGGAGAAGGUUCGCAAGGAGACCAAAAAGGAAUUUCUCCGAAUCAAGGAGAAGUUGGCCGCCAAGCCAGCAGUGGAUGAAAUCCCCGUCUUCGGCCUCCGGCUCCCCAGCCCGGCCCGGUAUGCGGCGAAGGGAAGCGCUUCCCGCGUCGGAUCCCCCAAACCAGCAGGCUCCCCUCGGGUUAAAGGUCGUGCGCGCCCAACUGCGACCCUCCCGCAGCCGGCGCCCCGAGGCGCCCCGCGGCCCCCGGGCCCGAGGGAGGUGGCCGCUCCCGGGAAGGGCCGGCCCUUCCGCCCCCAGGACUUCUACUUGCGGAGCUCCGCGUUCCUCCGGCGCCGGCCCCAGAAACCGCCAGUCAUCGCGCCCAGGGCCGGCACGUCCAGACCCGUGGUCCUGAUGCCGCCGCGCGUGCCCACGGGCAAGGCCAGGGCUCACCGGGGCUCCAGGACCCCGCCGCCGGCGGACUCCAAGCCCGUGCUCGACCCGGCCCGGGGGCGCGUGGCCAGCCUGGAGCCGGCUCAGCUCGCCGAGGUCGGCCAGGCCAGAGAGAGGCUGCCCGACUCCCUUUCCAGCGACGAGGGAGACGCGGAGGCGGCCGGCCGGCGGAAGAGAGUGAGGAUUAACACCCGCUUCCUGCUCGAGGACUCGGAUGGCGAGUCGCGGGAAGCCCCCGGGUCCUCUUCCAAAACCGACCGCGAGAGCACCCCGCCGAGCGACUCCCGGGAGGUCAACCCGCAGGCCCCGCAGCCAGUGCGUGCGAUCCCCAAGUCCAUCGAGGAGAUCAUCGCCUCGCUGCAGUCCGAGGCCCAGUUGGCCUCCGACCAGACCAUCAAAGAGCUCAUCCACAGCGUCCUUGGGCAGAACUACGACAUUAAAAUGGAAGUUAGAGAAUAAUAUGCAGUACGAUUGACUGUGAUGGGAAGAAAAGAAUCUGGACUAUGGCUGGAAGAGGUUAUAUAAGGGUUUUCUUGGAAAGGAUGUUUAUAUGCUGAGGGGAAAGACAACCUAGGGGGAGAGUGAAGCUAUAAGAAGAAAUGGAUUUAAUGUUGUUGUUUCUUGUAUUGCUGUAUUUAUUUAUUAAAUUUAUUUUU
rnacentral:lncRNA from 1 species